CAGGAAGGGUAGGGUGGAUGCAGGGCUGGGGUGAGCAGGAAAGGCUCUGAGAGGCACAGAGAGGAGCUUUCCAUAUGCUGCAGGGGUCUAAGCAUCCCUGAUCCAUGGCGU
rnacentral:lncRNA from 12 species